ensembl:lncRNA novel transcript
CACUACAGGCAAGAACAGCAAACCUGGGAGAAACUGACUCUAUAACCAGUGGAAGAAAGGCUGCGUAGCCAUCGCCGGAUCUCUAGGGGAAAAGAGAAGACACAGAGACACAGACCUGCCCCGGAGGAAUCCAGAGCCCACCUGCCCAGAGAGGCUCCUCCUGAUUUCCCUGGCUCUGGGCACCCCCUUAAAAGCCCUUUAUGCCAUCUUUCCUUUCAGUCAAAUGAUGCAGGAUUUGGGACCAGACAGCCUUUGCUCAAAUCCUUCCACUGUUACCUACCAGCUUGGUGGCCUUGGAGAAGUUAUUUCCCUGUUCUGGAUGUGCUUCCUCUUCUAUAAACUAGAGACGCUACAAAUUCCCACCA